UAAUAAGCCUGUCCACCAUUGUUAUC
rnacentral:piRNA from 1 species